rnacentral:rRNA from 1 species
CCUACGGGAGGCUGCAGUGAGGAAUAUUGGUCAAUGGCCGCAGGGCUGAACCAGCCAAGUCGCGUGAGGGAUGACGGUCCUAUGGAUUGUAAACCUCUUUUGUCAGGGAGCAAAGGGCGCCACGUGUGGCGCUUUGCGAGUACCUGAAGAAAAAGCAUCGGCUAACUCCGUGCCAGCAGCCGCGGUAAUACGGAGGAUGCGAGCGUUAUCCGGAUUUAUUGGGUUUAAAGGGUGCGCAGGCGGAAUGUCAAGUCAGCGGUAAAAUUUCGGGGCUCAACCCCGUCGUGCCGUUGAAACUGGCGUUCUUGAGUGAGCGAGAAGUAUGCGGAAUGCGUGGUGUAGCGGUGAAAUGCAUAGAUAUCACGCAGAACUCCGAUUGCGAAGGCAGCAUACCGGCGCUCAACUGACGCUCAUGCAGGAAAGCGUGGGUAUCGAACAGGAUUAGAUACCCGAGUAGUC